GACGAACGCUGGCAUCGUGCCUAAUACAUGCAAGUCGAGCGGACUGAAUGGAAGUUUGCUUUCGUUCGGUUAGCGGCGGACGGGUGAGUAACACGUGGGCAACCUGCCCGUAAGACCGGGAUAACUUCGGGAAACCGGAGCUAAUACCGGAUAACACCGAAGAUCGCAUGGUCUUUGGUUGAAAGGCGGCUUUGGCUGUCACUUACGGAUGGGCCCGCGGCGCAUUAGCUAGUUGGUGAGGUAACGGCUCACCAAGGCGACGAUGCGUAGCCGACCUGAGAGGGUGAUCGGCCACACUGGGACUGAGACACGGCCCAGACUCCUACGGGAGGCAGCAGUAGGGAAUCUUCCGCAAUGGACGAAAGUCUGACGGAGCAACGCCGCGUGAGCGAAGAAGGUCUUCGGAUUGUAAAGCUCUGUUGUUAGGGAAGAACAAGUACCGUUCGAAGAGGGCGGUACCGUGACGGUACCUAACGAGAAAGCCACGGCUAACUACGUGCCAGCCGCCGCGGUAAAAC
rnacentral:rRNA from 1 species